rnacentral:rRNA from 1 species
GACGAACGCUGGCGGCGUGCCUAAUACAUGCAAGUCGAGCGAACAGACGAGGAGCUUGCUCCUCGGACGUUAGCGGCGGACGGGUGAGUAACACGUGGAUAACCUACCUAUAAGACUGGGAUAACUUCGGGAAACCGGAGCUAAUACCGGAUAAUAUAUUGAACCACAUGGUUCAAUAGUGAAAGACGGUUUUGCUGUCACUAAUAGAUGGAUCCGCGCCGCAUUAGCUAGUUGGUAAGGUAACGGCCUACCAAGGCAACGAAGCGUAGCCGACCUGAGAGGGUGGUAGGCCACACUGGAGGGGAGACACGGUCCAUACUCCUACGGGAGGCAGCAGUCGGGAAUCUUCGGCAAUGGGGGAAAGCCUUACGGAGCAACGCGGCGUGAGUGAUGAAGGUGUUCGGAUCGGAAAACUCUGUUAUUAGGGAAAAACAAAUGUGGAAUUAACUGUGCACGUAGUGACGGUACCUAAUCAGAAAGCCACGGCUAACUACGUG